rnacentral:lncRNA from 1 species
AUAUUUUAAAGUCUUACAUUGUAUCAUCAUUUUGGCGUACAGUGAUAUUUUUUAAAGUUCAACAUAUUUCAUAGAAAUCUACAUAAAUAAUCUUCAUACUUCAAAACCUUUUCUUUGUUUCUAAUGCAGUCCUCACUUAAGUAUUCCUUGUUGAAAUUCAACAAUUACAAUUGCACAUAUGAUUUAAUUAAAGCAGGCCCAAUUUGAAUGAAAGUACAGGUGUAUUAUCAUUAUUUUCCGAAAUGAAAAAUACUUAACAGCUAGGUUUAUACUUAAAGGGGACAUAACUCUUAAUAUCCAUCACAGUAUAAAGUGAGUUAAGUUGAUAAAGGCUAGAUUUUUGUUCUUUCAAAGCUGGCAAUGUAUUUUUGUAAAAAGAAGGCGGUAUUGUAAAUAUAGAAAGAAAUCAUAUUUAACUUUUUAAAGGCUCAUCGAUUUUCAUUUAUUAAAUGAAAUGUAAGU